GACGAACGCUGGCGGCGUGCCUAAUACAUGCAAGUAGAACGCUGAAGGAGGAGCUUGCUUCUCUGGAUGAGUUGCGAACGGGUGAGUAACGCGUAGGUAACCUGCCUGGUAGCGGGGGAUAACUAUUGGAAACGAUAGCUAAUACCGCAUAAGAGUAGAUGUUGCAUGACAUUUGCUUAAAAGGUGCAAUUGCAUCACUACCAGAUGGACCUGCGUUGUAUUAGCUAGUUGGUGGGGUAACGGCUUACCAAGGCGACGAUACAUAGCCGACCUGAGAGGGUGAUCGGCCACACUGGGACUGAGACACGGCCCAGACUCCUACGGGAGGCAGCAGUAGGGAAUCUUCGGCAAUGGACGGAAGUCUGACCGAGCAACGCCGCGGGAGUGAAGAAGGGUUUCGGAUCGUAAAGAUCUGUUGUAAGAGAAGAACGAGUGUGAGAGUGGAAAGUUCACACUGUGACGGUAUCUUACCAGAAAGGGACGGCUAACUACGUG
rnacentral:rRNA from 1 species